CUCUGAUUUUGCCUACUUUUAUUCAUUGUAAAGGUAUUCAUCACAAAUUUGAUUUGUAAAAACACUAACAACAAUGUAACAAUGAAAAGCCUUACAAACAUUUUAUGGUGUUUACCAUAUUUCAAUAAGUUAAUCACAUGUACUUUCAAUUGACCAAAGCAGUGUUUCUGUACUUAUGACUAUGACUUACUUUCGAAUAACUACAUUUCAUAGAGUAUACUCAACAACCUGGACACAAAAUAUUUUAAAGAUUCUAGUGAUCUUAAAUGUUUGAGAACCAUUGUCUUAACUACCAUAUUAAUAAAAGUCUUUAAAAAAGUGAAAACAAAAAUGCUACAUUGUAACAAAAAAAUUUUUAAAAACAUAAACAAGGUCUCAAUGAGAAGUGAAACAGAACAUUAGACUUCUUUGAACACAACAAAAUUGUAAGGAUCAAUUGUGAUUGCCAUUAGUUUGAAGAGGAAAAAACAAAGUCAAAUAUUUGUGAUCUGAUGGAUCAAAAGGUUUUUAUGAAGAAACAUAAAAAGUUACCAAAGUUCCAGAAACUAUUUUAUUUAUAAAAUCUGAAAAAAAAAUGUAUUGAAGGUGAUAAAAUGAGAAUUUCAUUUUUUGUUUGAUUGUUGGGUUUUAAAAUAUCUGUAUCAAGAAAGCUAUAGACAGCGAGAAAACAUGGGCCUCGACUCUUGGAGAAAAGGGUACCACACUGAAAAUGGCCAGCCCCUCUACCACCAAAGCAAAAGCUACAUUGACAUGCAAUAUAUGUGGAGGGGAGUGUCUCUCCAAAACAGGGCUUCACAGACAUUUGAAAAAGUGUUUGAGAUGAACCAUAGUCGUUUUAAGACCGAAGGAGGCCGACGCCGAUGUGUCAUACAAUAAUGAUAAGUAAAUUAAAUAAAAUCUUAAUCUGAUUCUCUCAAAUUUGAAUCAAUUUUAUAAAAUAGCUUGUACUAAGAUUUCCUUAAGUGUUAUAAUAGUGAAAAUGAAAUAGACACAGAUACAACAACUGGUUACUUUACAUUAUGUUAAUUUUUUUAUUUUUUUUUAAAGAGUAUAUUGACCUAGCAAAAUAUUAACUUUGAAUGUUAAGACUGGAUCACAGAUUAAACAGCAGACAAAAUAUAUCAAACAUUAGAUCACAGGUCAAACAGCAGACAAAAUAUAUCAAACAUUAGAUCACAGGUCAAACAGCAGACAAAAUAUAUAAA